CCGAAGCAUAUUUUUAAGCAUAUGUUCAAAAAGCAUUCAGCUGUUACCAAUACCCAUCUUGCUACUCUCGAGUGCAUUCACCGCCCUUAAUUUACUUAUCCGAGCUCACGACCCGCGGUGUCCCUCACUAUGGUCCCCGUAUUCAGGUCCCUGUUCGGGCGCCACCCGUGACGGAGCCCGCCCGUCACUUGUCGAACAGUACCUGAAUGGGAGAGUGAGGAUGAAGAAAAAUAAAGACAAAGAGAUAGAGUCAGGAGGGCUCCCAGAGACCGAGUGCCCAAGUUUUUCUCCUCUCUUUUCUACAACAGUGUCAGCUGCACUUUUAGUUCUGCGCCAGUGUCUCCAGAAUGGAAGGAAUGACUGACUGAAAACUGGUGUUGAGAAGUUUAUCUCAUGAAAUCACUGUGAUACUGCUUACCUGGACACUUUUACUUGCUUCCAGACAGGUAAUAUUUAUGUCAGCAGGAAUGGUGCCCUCCCAUUAUCCUUGUUCUUGCUGGAUUUUUAAGUGUCCUAUUCUUACCUUUUCUUGGAACUCAG
rnacentral:lncRNA from 1 species